GAUGUAUACAUGCUGUCUACGAUGCACGAUGAAAGUACAGUGGCCGUGUCUGUGAGAAGUAGCACUGAGCAUCUGGAAAAGCCGAAGUGCAUUGUAGACUACAACAGGUUUAUGGGGGGAGUAGACUUGGCUGACCAAUGCAUACAGCCCCAUCUGGUGAACGGAAAAACUAGGAUCUGGUACAAGAAAACUGCAAUCUACGUG